AACAGGCAGUAUCCCUCUUCUAUAUAAACAUUACUUAAUAUUAAGGGAAAUCAAACAAAUCUAAGCCAAUACUCCCAACAAGCAAGUUAGAUCUUGUUUCUGCUGUUGUUGUUGAAAUGUGGCUUUGGCAUGGUUUCAUAAAAAUUUUUGGCCAAGAGGCUUAUGUUAGUAUACAUCCAUCUGUUUAGUCAUCAAGGUUUGUAGUUCACUCAAAAAUAAACCACUAGACAUCUUUUGCUGGAUGUCAAAUAGUCACAGUCUAAGUAGCUGGAAAGUCAAAGCAGUUUGAGCAUUGCCAAAUGAAAGAAUGGUUGGGCUGCAAAGAUGAUUGACUCAAGCAAGGUUCAUCCCAGUUGUAACUUGAGCAUCCCCUAAACUGGGGAUGCAAAAGCGUAUGGCCUGGGAAGACAGGAAAGCCAGUCCUCCUACAAAGGGGAAGUGGAAGAUACUGGCCUCUCAUAGUCAUAGACCAAAGUCUGCUAUAGAACAAAAUACUGGAGGGCAGAGAUAGCAAACAAAGUCUCCAAACAGUGCUGUCAGUAUUAGCAUGCGAUGCCACAGGCAUGGAAACCUUGCCUUACUUCCUGGUCCUGAAAGGGAACUGUGCAGAUGUGGAUCAACGUUUUGUUGAAAAUAAAGUAUUAAUACUUUAAAGUCAAAAUAUAGUGUUUACAUUCUUUAGGUCCUGGGAGGAGCUGGGGGGAGGGACUCUUGAUAAUACAAGAUAGUAGAAGCAGUCGUUUCUUUAAUUAUUUUUAACAGUUUAAUUAUUGUAUGUCGUGAGACACUAAAAUCAAGAAUGGGACUCUCAUUUCCUCUAUAAUUUGUUAAGAUUACCAGCAGCACAAUCACUUGUAGAAACUGUAUUAAAAAAAAAAAUCUCCCAGUCCCUUUGUUUCUGGCUUUGGAAUAGUUUUAUUUAUAUUGUAUAUCAUAAUAGUUUCAACUAUAGACAAUUACAAUGUUAAUUUAUUGUUCCUUGGGUUCCCCUUUGUAUAAGAUAGAGCCAAGACUAAAGAAACCAAAUAUAUGUGUUUACUAUAGCAUGUCUUCAAGUUAGUGAAACAUAGUUCAGGGGUAUAGAAGGGUCUUAAUGAUUAAAACCAUCCAUUUGAUCACAUGUCCUGAAAUUCCCAUAAUCUUUCUGUAUCUUAUUUAAUAUCCAUUGUAAAUCAUGUGACUUAAUAGCUUUUUCUUGUUUUUAAGACAUUUUAACAAUAAAAAGAGUCUUGCCUGGUUUUCCUUUCCAAACAUUGUAAGUUGUAUACCAAAGAUAUUAGUUUAUUACUUCAGUGUGUUUUUUAAAAAAAGAUUAUUUUAUUACAUUUAUGAAUCGCCUGUAAUAUCCACCCACGGGAGGGACUCACACUAGCUGUGUUGGGAUUGACUCUCAGUGUUAUCCUCGUUACUCUAAGGAGGAGGAAAGUCAUUAAUGAAAGCUCAGAUCCAAAGCAUUAAACCAGACAGAGAUAUGGCUGUUCCUCCCACUGAAAAACCCAAGUUGGUUAAAGGCACACGGAGAAGGUGCAGAUGCCAGUGGCUAAUGGGAGAGCUCUAUCUUGGGUGUCAAUGUGACUAGAAGGAUGGCUGUUUGGAGGGUUUUGACAUUGAAGACAAAAAAUCCAUGUUUCCCUAUUUUACAUAUCUAGUGCUCCCCUACCCAACAUUAAACCUAAAAGUUGUCAAAUACUGGUUUGUCGUUCACCGAGUAGCUUUCACCCUGAGAAUGGUUAGAGAAACAGGCAACAGUCACAUCCAUACCAAGGACAGAAGCAGCUUGAGCAGGAGUGUAGGUGGUGCCCUGCAGUUAUCGGAUGUCAGUUGGUAGCCCAGUUUGUAACUUAGCCAACUGCUUUAUUGAUUUCUAGGGUUCCUAAUAAAGGCAGACUCAAGAGGGAAAGGUCUUCAACUGAGCUGGGUUUCCCGUAGUUGGUCUCUGUGAAGAGACAGUCUGUGAUGUCUUGAGUCUUUGGAUGGUGGCUCUUCCGCAGCUGCCUUGGACUUGAAUCCAUGCAGUCUUCAGAGUGUAGAGUUGGUACCUUGUUGACGUCUUCUUACUGUAUCAGUGAAAUAUACACAUUGUCAUGUCGGUUCUUGCCAUGAAUUUCUCAAUGAAAGUGGAUUUUUUUCCAGUAUUUCAAUAAAUAUUGAUAUGUCCACCUGGUAA
rnacentral:lncRNA from 1 species